AGGCAGCAGUGGGGAAUAUUGCACAAUGGGGGAAACCCUGAUGCAGCCAUGCCGCGUGUGUGAAGAAGGCCUUCGGGUUGUAAAGCACUUUCAGUAGGGAGGAAGGUAGUGUAGUUAACACCUGCAUUAUUUGACGUUACCUACAGAAGAAGCACCGGCUAACUCCGUGCCAGCAGCCGCGGUAAUACGGAGGGUGCGAGCGUUAAUCGGAAUUACUGGGCGUAAAGCGCAUGCAGGCGGCCUGUUAAGUCAGAUGUGAAAGCCCCGGGGCUUAACCUCGGAAUUGCAUUUGAAACUGGCAGGCUAGAGUCUUGUAGAGGGGGUAGAAUUUCAGGUGUAGCGGUGAAAUGCGUAGAGAUCUGAAGGAAUACCAGUGGCGAAGGCGGCCCCCUGGACAAAGACUGACGCUCAGAUGCGAAAGCGUGGGGAGCAAACAGGAUUAGAUACCCUGGUAG
rnacentral:rRNA from 1 species